GAUGAACGCUGGCGGCGUGCCUAAUACAUGCAAGUCGAGCGAAUGGAUUAAGAGCUUGCUCUUAUGAAGUUAGCGGCGGACGGGUGAGUAACACGUGGGUAACCUGCCCAUAAGACUGGGAUAACUCCGGGAAACCGGGGCUAAUACCGGACAACAUUUUGAACCGCAUGGUUCGAAAUUGAAAGGCGGCUUCGGCUGUCACUUAUGGAUGGACACGCGUCGCAUUAGCUAGUUGGUGAAGUAACGGCUCACCAAGGCAACGAUGCGUAGCCGACCUGAGAGGGUGAUCGGCCACACUGGGACUGAGACACGGCACAGACUCCUCCGGGAGGAAGCAGUAGGGGAUCUUCCGCAAUGGACGAAAGUCUGACGGAGCAACGCCGCGUGAGUGAUGAAGGCUUUCGGGUCGUAAAACUCUGUUGUUAGGGAAGAACAAGUGCUAGUUGAAUAAGCUGGCACCUUGACGGUACCUAACCAGAAAGCCACGGCUAACUACGUGCCAGCAGCCGCAGUAA
rnacentral:rRNA from 1 species